rfam:Heterocephalus glaber contig46700, whole genome shotgun sequence.
UGGGAUGGAGCUCAGUGGUAGAGCUUGAGCUCAGCAUGUACAAGGUCCUGGGUUCAAUCCCCAGCAUCACAA